rnacentral:rRNA from 1 species
UGUCACCACAAUAGCAUCCUGGAUGUGCCUGAUCUUGUCUGAUCUCAGAAGUUAAGCAGGGCCCAGUUAGUACUUGAAUCAAAGGAGAUUCAUUUUUAAAGCAAUCAUGUGUUUAAAA